UGUUUAAACAGGAAGUUUCAAAAGCACGUGUAAAAGAAGAAAUUAACCGGUGAGAGUGGAAAUCCGUACAUAACAUAUAUCACUAUAGUACGACUUUUAAAGCAAAACAGUUUCAUCCUUUUGUAAAACAGUCUUAAAUAUACCUAUCACAUUAAUGUUUGAAGGGUCUUAAGCUUAUUCAAACCAUAUAAGUCGGUAUGAAACACCAAAACGGAAUGAUAAUAACCGAUUACGUUUUGUAGUUUACAAAAUUCUGGACUGGUUCCUGUCAAACUACAACACUUUGUUCGACUGUAGUGGAAUACAACAGAACCAGUUAGUUUGUAAACUGGUUCCUGGCUGAUUACUACACAAUGCUCAUGCAUAAUGAUAACACAAGCACAUUCCAGUUUGUAUUGAAAUUAGUAAAUACGAAACCAAGCGCGGUAGGCAGAGAAAUCAGGUCGGCAGUUAUGGAACAAUGACUGCGUCAUUUUCCUAAAAGAAUUGUAUCUGAAUUAUUUUUCUAGUUUUUGAUUUCUUAAGUCUCAUAUAUUUAUAAAAGAAAAUGUGAGGUAGACUUUUAUUAGCAAGGAAUUCAAUAAUGCAAUUAAAAAAAAAGACAAAAAAAUAUUGCACUUAACCAUGAUAAUGAUAUAUAUACAAUAUAUGUAGCACAAUUUUGAUAAAUUCACAAUUCAUUCAGGCAUUACUAUACCCCUAUUUAAUGUUAUGUUCUGGAGUUAUUCUCUGAACAUGAUUACCAGUAACACAACAUAUCAAAUAAUCAUUUGGUUAUCAGUUAGAGGCUUGAUAUUUAAACAAGAAAGACUAGUUAAACCCCAUUACAUGAUCAUUUUCCUGUCUGCAGAUUAGCCAACUAAUUUACUAGUUUGAAUGUCAUUUUCUGUCAAAUAACUUAAGGAAUCUUCUUGUCAGUUGAUGAUGGUUCAUAUGUCAAUCAAUAUACAUGUGUAUAAGACAAUGAUGACAUUAAAACUUGGCAUAUAUACAUAACAACAAAUAAGCUCUAGUAUAAUUAGGUUAGAAAGUACAUUUUCAAUGUUUUUUUUAAACA
rnacentral:lncRNA from 1 species